rnacentral:rRNA from 1 species
UACGUAGGGUGCAAGCGUUAUCCGGAAUUAUUGGGCGUAAAGAGCUCGUAGGCGGUUUGUCGCGUCUGCUGUGAAAACCCGAGGCUCAACCUCGGGCCUGCAGUGGGUACGGGCAGACUAGAGUGCGGUAGGGGAGAUUGGAAUUCCUGGUGUAGCGGUGGAAUGCGCAGAUAUCAGGAGGAACACCGAUGGCGAAGGCAGGUCACUGGGCCGCAACUGACGCUGAGGAGCGAAAGCAUGGGGAGCGAACAGG